UAGAUUGAAGCCAGUAGACUAGGGUAUUUAGCUGUUAACUAAAUUUUCGUGGGAUUAUAACCCAUCAAUCUAG
rnacentral:tRNA from 1 species